UUUUAUUGCUUAUUUUCAUUAUAUAAACCGUAAUUUUUCGAAUGAAAUGCAAUCAGGGAAUAUUUUCGAAAGGUAUAAGCUGAUUAUUAUUCUUCUUCUUCAAAAUCAUGAAAGCUUUUUAUGAUAUUUUGAUAAUCUUACUCUUUUGUACCAUGUUCAAUUUGAAUGAAUCAAUAACUAUAAAUGUUAAAUGUACUGCACCCCAACAAUGUUUAAAACCGUGUAAAAAAGCUUUCGGAAUGUCUGCAG